rnacentral:rRNA from 1 species
GUCUACGGCCACACCACCCCGAACGCGCCCCAUCUCGUCUGAUCUCGGAAGCUAAGCAGGGUCGGGCCUGGUUACUACUUGGAUGGGAGACCACCUGGGAAUACCAGGUGCUGUAGGCU